AUUGAACGCUGGCGGCAUGCCUUACACAUGCAAGUCGAACGGCAGCACGGGAGCAAUCCUGGUGGCGAGUGGCGAACGGGUGAGUAAUAUAUCGGAACGUGCCCAGUCGUGGGGAUAACGUAGCGAAAGCUACGCUAAUACCGCAUACGAUCUAUGGAUGAAAGCGGGGGAUCGCAAGACCUCGCGCGAUUGGAGCGGCCGAUAUCAGAUUAGGUAGUUGGUGAGGUAAAGGCUCACCAAGCCGACGAUCUGUAGCUGGUCUGAGAGGACGACCAGCCACACUGGACUGAGACACGGCCCAGACUCCUACGGGAGGCAGCAGUGGGGAAUUUUGGACAAUGGCGCAAGCCUGAUCCAGCAAUGCCGCGUGCAGGAUGAAGG
rnacentral:rRNA from 1 species